GAGAGUUAGGUAAAUCCGGCUCUUUUUAAGGCUGAGACACGACGUCGAGCACCUACGGGUGUGAAGUCAUUGAUGCCAUGCUUCCAGGAAAAGCCUCUAAGCUUCAGAUUGUAAGGAAUCGUACCCCAAACCGACACAGGUGGUCGGGUAGAGAAUACCAAGGCGCUUGAGAGAACUCGGGUGAAGGAACUAGGCAAAAUGGUACCGUAACUUCGGGAGAAGGUACGCUCUCGACGGUGAAGUCCCUCGCGGAUGGAGCUAUUGAGAGUCGCAGAUACCAGGUGGCUGCAACUGUUUAUUAAAAACACAGCACUGUGCAAAAUCGUAAGAUGACGUAUACGGUGUGACGCCUGCCCGGUGCCGGAAGGUUAAUUGAUGGGGUUAGACUUCGGUCGAAGCUCUUGAUCGAAGCCCCGGUAAACGGCGGCCGUAACUAUAACGGUCCUAAGGUAGCGAAAUUCCUUGUCGGGUAAGUUCCGACCUGCACGAAUGGCGUAAUGAUGGCCACGCUGUCUCCACCCGAGACUCAGUGAAAUUGAAAUCGCUGUGAAGAUGCAGUGUACCCGCGGCUAGACGGAAAGACCCCGUGAACCUUUACUACAGCUUGGCACUGAACAUUGACCCUACAUGUGUAGGAUAGGUGGGAGGCUUUGAAGCACGUACGCCAGUAUGUGUGGAGCCGUCCUUGAAAUACCACCCUUGUAGUGUUGAUGUUCUAACGUCGACCCCUUAUCGGGGUUGCGGACAGUGCCUGGUGGGUAGUUUGACUGGGGCGGUCUCCUCCCAAAGAGUAACGGAGGAGCACGAAGGUGGGCUAAUCACGGUUGGACAUCGUGAGGUUAGUGCAAUGGCAUAAGCCCGCUUGACUGCGAGAAUGACAAUUCGAGCAGGUGCGAAAGCAGGUCAUAGUGAUCCGGUGGUUCUGAAUGGAAGGGCCAUCGCUCAACGGAUAAAAGGUACUCCGGGGAUAACAGGCUGAUACCGCCCAAGAGUUCAUAUCGACGGCGGUGUUUGGCACCUCGAUGUCGGCUCAUCACAUCCUGGGGCUGAAGUCGGUCCCAAGGGUAUGGCUGUUCGCCAUUUAAAGUGGUACGCGAGCUGGGUUUAGAACGUCGUGAGACAGUUCGGUCCCUAUCUGCCGUGGGCGUUGGAAGAUUGAAGGGGGCUGCUCCUAGUACGAGAGGACCGGAGUGGACGAACCUCUGGUGUUCGGGUUGUGUCGCCAGACGCAUUGCCCGGUAGCUAAGUUCGGAAUCGAUAACCGCUGAAAGCAUCUAAGCGGGAAGCGAGCCCUGAGAUGAGUCUUCCCUGAUACUUUAAGUAUCCUAAAGGGUUGUCGGAGACUACGACGUUGAUAGGUCAGGUGUGUAAGUGCUGUGAGGCAUUGAGCUAACUGAUACUAAUUGCCCGUGAGGCUUAACCAUACAACACC
rnacentral:rRNA from 1 species